rnacentral:rRNA from 1 species
ACUCCUACGGGAGGCAGCAGUCGGGGAAUAUUUGCACAAUGGGCGCAAGCCUGAUGCAGCCAUGCCGCGUGUGUGAAGAAGGCCUUCGGGUUGUAAAGCACUUUCAGUCGUGAGGAAGGUAGUGUAGUUAAUAGCUGCAUUAUUUGACGUUAGCGACAGAAGAAAGCACCGGCUAACUCCGUGCCAGCAGCCGCGGUAAUACGGAGGGUGCAAGCGUUAAUCGGAAUUACUGGGCGUAAAAGCGUGACGCAGGCGGUCUGUUAAGCGAGAUGUG